UCUCAGACAGUAAAGAAUCUGCCUGCAAAGCAGGUGACCCAGGUUCGAUCCCUGG
rnacentral:tRNA from 1 species